rnacentral:misc_RNA from 1 species
AACGCACAUUGCGCCCGGCAGUACUCUGCCGGGCAUGCCUGUUCGAGCGUCAUUUCAACCCUCAAGCCCUGCUUGGUGUUGGGGUCCCACGGCCGCCGUGGGCCCUGAAAGGAAGUGGCGGGCUCGCUACAACUCCGAGCGUAGUAAUUCAUUAUCUCGCUUAGGGCGUUGGGCGGCGCUCCUGCCGUUAAAGAACCAUCUUUAACUCAAGGCUGACCUCGGAUCAGGUAGGAAUACCCGCUGAACUUAA